rnacentral:rRNA from 1 species
UGGGGAAUAUUGCACAAUGGGCGAAAGCCUGAUGCAGCGACGCCGCGUGAGGGAUGACGGCCUUCGGGUUGUAAACCUCUUUCAGCAGGGAAGAAGCGAAAGUGACGGUACCUGCAGAAGAAGCGCCGGCUAACUACGUGCCAGCAGCCGCGGUAAUACGUAGGGCGCAAGCGUUGUCCGGAAUUAUUGGGCGUAAAGAGCUCGUAGGCGGUUAGUCGCGUCUGCUGUGAAAACUCGAGGCUCAACCUCGGGCUUGCAGUGGGUACGGGCUGACUAGAGUGCGGUAGGGGUGACUGGAAUUCCUGGUGUAGCGGUGGAAUGCGCAGAUAUCAGGAGGAACACCGAUGGCGAAGGCAGGUCACUGGGCCGCAACUGACGCUGAGGAGCGAAAGCAUGGGGAGCGAACAGGAUUAGAUACCCUGGUAGUCCAUGCCGUAAACGUUGGGCACUAGGUGUGGGGUCCAUUCCACGGAUUCCGUGCCGCAGCAAACGCAUUAAGUGCCCCGCCUGGGGAGUACGGCCGCAAGGCUAAAACUUAAAUG